UACGAGGGGAGCAAGCGUUGUUCGGAUUUACUGGGCGUAAAGCGCGUGUAGGCGGUUAUGCAAGUCGGGUGUGAAAGCCCGGAGCUCAACUCCGGAAGUGCAUUCGAUACUGCGUAGCUAGAGUACUGGAGAGGAUGGUGGAACUCUCGGUGUAGAGGUGAAAUUCGUAGAUAUCGAGAAGAACACCGGUGGCGAAGGCGGCCAUCUGGACAGAUACUGGACGCUGAGACGCGAAAGCGUGGGGAGCAAACAGG
rnacentral:rRNA from 1 species